CUCCUGGUCUACCCUGUACCUGCACAUCUGGGGUUAGGGGAGAGGGGUGAGCUACAAAGCCCAGUGAGCAGAAUAGAGAAAACAUAUAUUAAAAUUUCAUGCUUUCAUGAAAUGCAACACAUCACAAACAUAUCACAUAAGGAUGGUAUUGUCACCUCUAGUCCUCUACAUUCCAAAGUGCCGGGACGUAGAAUGGGUACAACCGGACUUCCUCUUACUAUAACAUAACAUAACAUUCCAAUAUGCCAGGGACGUAGAAUGGGUACAACCUGGUCUUUCUCUUACUCUGGCCGGGACGUAGAAUGGGUACAACCGGCAACCAUACCAUAACAUGCCUCAUCAUAACAUAUCAAGGACUAAAGGAUCAUUCAAUGCCCAUCCACAACAUCAUCAAGUAUGCAAUGCAACAUAUUCGUGGAAUCUAAUGCAAACAACCUAAAAUAUCACAUAACAUUCAUGAUGCAUGGGUCAUGCUCAAAAUUCAUAUUUCAU
rnacentral:lncRNA from 1 species